UACGAAGGGGGCUAGCGUUGCUCGGAAUCACUGGGCGUAAAGCGCACGUAGGCGGAUUGUUAAGUCAGGGGUGAAAUCCUGGAGCUCAACUCCAGAACUGCCUUUGAUACUGGAGAGCUCGAGUCCGGAAGAGGUGAGUGGAACUCCGAGUGUAGAGGUGAAAUUCGUAGAUAUUCGGAAGAACACCCGUGGCGAAGGCGGCUCACUGGACCACAACUGACGCUGAGGCGCGAAAGCUAGGGGAGCAAACAGG
rnacentral:rRNA from 1 species